ACAUGCAAGUCGAACGGUAACAGGUCUUCGGAUGCUGACGAGUGGCGCACGGGUGAGUAACGCGUGGAUAUCUGCCUAUUAGUGGGGGACAACUUAUGGAAACGUAAGCUAAUACCGCAUAAUCCCUACGGGGGAAAGCAGGGGACCUUCGGGCCUUGUGCUGAUAGAUGAGUCCGCGUCUGAUUAGCUAGUUGGUAAGGUAAAGGCUUACCAAGGCGAUGAUCAGUAUCUGGUUUGAGAGGAUGAUCAGACACACUGGAACUGAGACACGGUCCAGACUCCUACGGGAGGCAGCAGUGGGGAAUAUUGCACAAUGGAGGAAACUCUGAUGCAGCGACGCCGCGUGUGGGAAGAAGGCUUUCGGGUUGUAAACCACUUUCAAUUGGGAAGAAGAGAUGAGGUUUAAUACACUUCUGAUUUGACGGUACCUUUAGAAGAAGCACCGGCUAAUUUCGUGCCAGCAGCCGCGGUAAUACGAAAGGUGCAAGCGUUGUUCGGAUUUACUGGGCGUAAAGAGAGUGUAGGUUGUUUAUUAAGUCGGAUGUGAAAUCCCGGGGCUCAACCUCGGAACUGCAUUCGAUACUGGUAGACUAGAGUUCGGGAGGGGUAAGCGGAAUUCCGCGUGUAGCAGUGAAAUGCGUAGAUAUGCGGAGGAACACCUGAGGCGAAGGCGGCUUACUGGACCGAUACUGACACUGAGACUCGAAAGCGUGGGUAGCAAACAGGAUUAGAUACCCUGGUAGUCCACGCCCUAAACGAUGUCAACUAGCCGUUGCGGGUAUCGACCCCUGCAGUGGCGAAGCUAACGCGAUAAGUUGACCGCCUGGGGAGUACGGU
rnacentral:rRNA from 1 species